AUAAUGAGAAAUACCUUGGUCUAUUAUAUCUUUAUGCCAUAGACAACCUUUCCACCAGAGGACACACAGAACUAGGAAGAUGAUAGCUACUACAACAACCACAAUACCAACUACUGUGCUUGCAGAAAUACUACUACUACUACCUUCCGAAGGGGGGACAAAAUCUACAUGUGGAAAGAAUAUUAAAAAGAUUUUUCAAUUUAAGAAAGCAUGAAAAAGAAAAGCAAUGUUAUACCUCUAACUUUAAUAAUGGUUUACACUAGAAGUA
rnacentral:lncRNA from 1 species